rnacentral:misc_RNA from 1 species
AAGUCGUAACAAGGUUUCCGUAUGUGAACCUGCGGAAGGAUCAUUAAAUAAUCAAUAAUUUUGGCUCGUCCAUUAUUAUCUAUUUACUGUGAACUGUAUUAUUACUUGACGCUUGAGGGAUGCUCCACUGCUAUAAGGAUAGGCGGUGGGGAUGUUAACCAAGUCAUAGUCAAGCUUAGGCUUGGUAUCCUAUUAUUAUUUACCAAAAGAAUUCAGAAUUAAUAUUGUAACAUAGACCUAAAAAAUCUAUAAAACAACUUUUAACAACGGAUCUCUUGGUUCUC